CGCUGGCGGCGUGCUUAACACAUGCAAGUCGAACGGAAAGGCCCUGCUUUUGUGGGGUGCUCGAGUGGCGAACGGGUGAGUAACACGUGAGUAACCUGCCCUUGACUUUGGGAUAACUUCAGGAAACUGGGGCUAAUACCGGAUAGGAGCUCCUGCUGCAUGGUGGGGGUUGGAAAGUUUCGGCGGUUGGGGAUGGACUCGCGGCUUAUCAGCUUGUUGGUGGGGUAGUGGCUUACCAAGGCUUUGACGGGUAGCCGGCCUGAGAGGGUGACCGGCCACAUUGGGACUGAGAUACGGCCCAGACUCCUACGGGAGGCAGCAGUGGGGAAUAUUGCACAAUGGGCGGAAGCCUGAUGCAGCAACGCCGCGUGCGGGAUGACGGCCUUCGGGUUGUAAACCGCUUUCGCCUGUGACGAAGCGUGAGUGACGGUAAUGGGUAAAGAAGCACCGGCUAACUACGUGCCAGCAGCCGCGGUGAUACGUAGGGUGCGAGCGUUGUCCGGAUUUAUUGGGCGUAAAGGGCUCGUAGGUGGUUGAUCGCGUCGGAAGUGUAAUCUUGGGGCUUAACCCUGAGCGUGCUUUCGAUACGGGUUGACUUGAGGAAGGUAGGGGAGAAUGGAAUUCCUGGUGGAGCGGUGGAAUGCGCAGAUAUCAGGAGGAACACCAGUGGCGAAGGCGGUUCUCUGGGCCUUUCCUGACGCUGAGGAGCGAAAGCGUGGGGAGCGAACAGGCUUAGAUACCCUGGUAGUCCACGCUGUAAACGGUGGGUACUAGGUGUGGGGUCCAUUCCACGGGUUCCGUGCCGUAGCUAACGCUUUAAGUACCCCGCCUGGGGAGUACGGCCGCAAGGCUAAAACUCAAAGGAAUUGACGGGGCCCCGCACAAGCGGCGGAGCAUGCGGAUUAAUUCGAUGCAACGCGUAGAACCUUACCUGGGUUUGACAUGGAUCGGGAGUGCUCAGAGAUGGGUGUGCCUCUUUUGGGGUCGGUUCACAGGUGGUGCAUGGCUGUCGUCAGCUCGUGUCGUGAGAUGUUGGGUUAAGUCCCGCAACGAGCGCAACCCUUGUUCACUGUUGCCAGCACGUUAUGGUGGGGACCCAGUGGAGACCGCCGGGGUCAACUCGGAGGAAGGUGGGGAUGACGUCAAGUCAUCAUGCCCCUUAUGUCCAGGGCUUCACGCAUGCUACAAUGGCUGGUACAGAGAGUGGCGAGCCUGUGAGGGUGAGCGAAUCUCGGAAAGCCGGUCUCAGUUCGGAUUGGGGUCUGCAACUCGACCUCAUGAAGUCGGAGUCGCUAGUAAUCGCAGAUCAGCAACGCUGCGGUGAAUACGUUCCCGGGGCUUGUACACACCGCCCGUCAAGUCAUGAAAGUUGGUAACACCCGAAGCCGGUGGCCUAACCGUUGUGGGGGAGCCGUCGAAGGUGGGACUGGUGAUUAGGACUA
rnacentral:rRNA from 1 species